AGAGUUUGAUCAUGGCUCAGAAUGAACGUUGGCGGCGUGGAUUAGGCAUGCAAGUCGAGCGAGAACCCGCAAGGGGGACAGCGGCAAACGGGGUAGUAACGGGUAGGUGACGUACCCUCGGGUCGGGGAUAGCCACGGGAAACUGUGGGUAAUACCCGAUAACCUCUGUAGACGUGAUAGUUUAGAGAGCAAAGGUGUGAUUCCACCUGAGGAGCGGCCUGCUUCGUAUUAGCUAGUUGGUGAGGUAACGGCUCACCAAGGCGACGAUGCGUAGGGGGUGUGAGAGCAUGACCCCCACCACUGGGACUGAGAUACUGCCCAGACACCUACGGGUGGCUGCAGUCGAGAAUCUUCGGCAAUGGGCGCAAGCCUGACCGAGCGACGCCGCGUGUGGGAUGAAGGCCCUUGGGUUGUAAACCACUGUCAGAGGGGAUGAAAUGCACGAGAGUUAUCUCUGGUGUUUGACAUAGCCUCAGAGGAAGCACGGGCUAAGUUCGUGCCAGCAGCCGCGGUAAUACGAACUGUGCGAACGUUAUUCGGAAUCGCUGGGCUUACAGGGUGCGUAGGCGGCUUGUUAAGUAGGGUGUGAAAGCCCCCGGCUCAACCGGGGAAUGGCGCCCUAAACUGGCGAGCUAGAGUGAGAUAGGGGUGUGUGGAACUUCCGGUGGAGCGGUGAAAUGUGUUGAUAUCGGAAGGAACGCCGGUGGCGAAAGCGACACACUGGAUCUUGUCUGACGCUGAGGCACGAAAGCCAGGGGAGCGAACGGGAUUAGAUACCCUAGUAGUCC
rnacentral:rRNA from 1 species